AACGGUGGCUAAUACCGGAUGUGCCCUUGGGUGAAAGAUUAAUUGCCUGAAGAUGAGCUCGCGUCUGAUUAGCUAGUAGGUGGGGUAAGAGCCUACCUAGGCGACGAUCAGUAGCUGGUCUGAGAGGAUGAUCAGCCACACUGGGACUGAGACACGGCCCAGACUCCUACGGGAGGCAGCAGUGGGGAAUUUUCCGCAAUGGGCGAAAGCCUGACGGAGCAAUACCGCGUGAGGGAGGAAGGCUCUUGGGUCGUAAACCUCUUUUCUCAAGGAAGAACACAAUGACGGUACUUGAGGAAUCAGCAUCGGCUAACUCCGUGCCAGCAGCCGCGGUAAUACGGAGGAUGCAAGCGUUAUCCGGAAUGAUUGGGCGUAAAGCGUCCGCAGGUGGCGAUGUAAGUCUGCUGUUAAAGAGUGAGGCUCAACCUCAUAAGAGCAGUGGAAACUACAUAGCUAGAGUGCGUUCGGGGCAGAGGGAAUUCCUGGUGUAGCGGUGAAAUGCGUAGAGAUCAGGAAGAACACCGGUGGCGAAAGCGCUCUGC
rnacentral:rRNA from 1 species